UGAGCCUGUCCGCAAGGCCUCUGCUGCCGCUGGCCUGGCCGCCGCUGGAGAGAGAAGCACGGUCAUGCUAAAGAGCAGCUGAGCUUUUUAACAGCUCGUUUAUUCUUCCUCUAAUUCAGCCCUGAAGAAUUACCUGGGCACACUUGAAUCACCUUUGGGGGCUUGUAGCACACACCUGAGGAGAUUACAGUGAUUUCCUGAAGGAUUCCUUGACUUGAUGAUAACUCGGGAAGGAAUGAAGACAGAAACAGCACGUGCAGGAGAAACCUAGGAUUGCUUCUGCUGUUAGGCGGGUAUGGGCUGCUGCAGAGACACAACUGGAUAGAAGCAUGCUCCAGGAGGAUGGGGAGGUUCCAUGGGUUCCCAGUCUCCUGGGCUCAAGGUCCCUGCUGUGGGGCACACUUCCUUCCAUCACAUACUCUAAAUGCAGGCUCGAUUGGCUGACAGUAUGUAUGCUUUCGGAAUCAAACCAGGAAGUGGAAGACUGUAGUGAGGCACAGUGACACUUUUCAUCCUCUGUUCUUACUCUGGGAAGAUCUACCCACAUCUUUCCAGUCCGAAUAGAACUGAGCACGCUGCCCUCUUGGGUUCGUCUGGAAUGCAGAGUGGGGAUUUAAUGUUGGUCAAAAGAGACAGCAGUCAGAGCUCAGCCUGGUCCUUGUCACCAGCAAACCCAGAGCUCACGAAGUGCUUGGUUUAUGAAGUUUGAUUACGGAGAGGAGCAGUCUCCUGACACAAGAGCGGCUGUCUAUUGAUCGUCCACGAUGGCCAGGGCAAUCUGAUAAGUGGUCUAGUCUAUGGCCUCAAAGCCUCAAAGCCUCAAGAGGGCUCAGUGGGAAAGUCAGCAGGGCUCAGUACUUGCUCUAAUAGGAUUUCAGAGAGGAGGAAAACUGAGACAAACAUUUAUCACUGACUUACCGCGUACUAGUAUUGUUUCUGGUUUUUGUGGUGCUGUGGACUAAAGCCAGUCUCUGCCAUCUAUCAGGCAAGCGCUUUAUCACUGGGCUACACCAGUGGCUCCUGCUAUGCCUUAAUGUGUUCACAGAGAGCACCCAAGAUCCUAUAAAAAUAGAGCCUGCGUGGCCACCAUUUUGUAGAGCGGGGAGUUGAGCUUCGUUAAGGCUAUCAAAUAUCUUCUUUGAGUUAUGGAAAGUACCAGAGCUGGGAUUUGGGCAGAGAGGUAGACAGACGGGGACAGAGGCCAUGUCUAGGUAAGAAACAUGGAGAACUUCCAAGAUGGCUGGCCGGAGACUAAAGCCUGGCAGCUUAAAACAAAAGACCUCUUUGACUUUCAUUCUCUCCAGGAGGGCUCCUUGUCGAUUGAAUUGGAGGGCUCCUCCAAGCCAGAUCAGGACAGGCUUAUGCCAAAGUAUCGGCUGCCCUGUCUGUUCAAACCACUGUCUCAAACCUGGGACUAACAGAGAGCUGCCUAAUUAACAUAUCAAAAUGGAUGGGCCUGGCCAUCAGGUGCUCCCAGCAUCCCUCAGACUCUAGCUGAUUAUACAGGGCAACCCAGUCCAGCUGGAGUUUGGGGUAGGAAGCUGGGUGUGCUGGGGUUUGAGACCUAGCACUGCUUUACACUUAAUUAAAUACUCUUAAAACCCCAGCUCUUUGGGAGAAGUGGAACUGAAGUCUGCUUCCUGCUUUGUAGAGGGCCCUGGCCGUGCUUGAUGUGUCCUGCUGUGAGUGUUUCUCCAUCUCUACUAAAAGCUUCUCUUUAUGGGCUGAUCCUGUCUGCUGCGGUUAAGA
rnacentral:sRNA from 1 species